AUUCAUAGCAUUAAAAACGAAUCAAAACGGAGCUCCUCUUCUCCAAAAACAAACUCUUAGAUGCCAUCGUUGCUACAAUCCCAUAUCCGCCAAUGGAAGAGAAUCAACAGCCCGUAUGUAUCAAGUGAAAAUACAGCAGGUGUCUAUGAAGAACUGUUCCCUGGAUUAAUCAAUUGGAUGGAACAACCAAAAAUUGUUUUGCUUAUCUUUGUUUCUGCAAAGAUUGUUCUCACUGGAGCAAAGGUUAGCGAUGAGACUUAUACCACCUUUGAGAACAUAUAUCCUGUUCUUACUGAGUUCAGGAAGAAUCAGCAAUGUUCUUUCAGCACCUCCAAAGUUGGUGUACAGUAAACUAGUUCUGCACUUCACAAGGAAACUUUUGGUGGCAGUUGCAGAGAAGUGGGGUAGUCAUGUUCUUGUUAUUGAUAAAGUUGCACCCCCUAAUUGAAAGAAUGAAACUGUACGCAGAGAAAGGAGCUGGAUAGUUCUCAUCACUUGAAUAAGAAACCUAAAAUUCUAAGAUCCCUAGACUCCUGCAAGAUGUUGAUGUGUGUUGCUUGUAAACUGCUGUUUCCCAAUUACCAUAAAAGACUGGGAGUUAGUUUAAACUGUUUAAAAAGAUAAGAUGCUAAUCACCUUUUGCAGAAACAUUCUUUUCCUUUCCACCUUUAAAGAUCAGCCUUUCUUAUCAUAUUUUUUCCUAGUUAUAGAAGGAGUAUGUUGAUGAACUUGGAAGAUCUUGUUUAUCUGCCCGAGGGACCAAGCAGCAGGGCUGUUGGGUGCCCUGAAAGUUAUGGGGUCCCCUUAGAGCAUCCAAUGGCUCUGAAUAUUGCAUAGUUGCCAGGAUAUCCCAUCCUUUGUUGCCCCUCCCCCUCUCUUUGUCCAUUGUUCUUGAUGAGUUUUUCCCAUCUCUCUAAUAUUUGGAAUUUUAUGUGUAGAUUUUUGUAUAAUCCAACUUUAUCCUGAAUUGUAUUCUGAUCUCAAAUUUCUGCUCAUUUAAGCUGUA